AGAGUCAACCGGCGGACGGGUGAGUAACGCGUGGGAAUCUACCUUAAAGUGGGGUAUAGCCAGCCGAAAGGUUGGGUAAUCCCCCAUGUGAUAGUAAUAUUAAAGCCGCAAGGCGCUUUAAGAUGAGCCCGCGUCCUAUCAGCUUGUUGGUGGGGUAAAGGCCUACCAAGGCGACGACGGGUAGCUGGUCUGAGAGGAUGGUCAGCCACAAUGGAACUGCGACACGGUCCAUACACCUACGGGUGGCGCAGUAGGGAAUCAUAGACAAUGGGCGAAAGCCUGAUCUUGCGACGCCGCGUGGAGGAUUGAAGGCCCUCGGGUUGUAAACUCCUUUUGCUAGGGAAGAUUAUGACGGUACCUAGCGAAUAAGCACCUGCUAAUCACGUGCCAGAAGCCUCGGUAAUACGUGAGGUGCGAGCGUUAUCCGGAUUCAUUGGGCGUAAAGAGUUGCGUAGGCGGAUUUGCGCAUUUUGUUUAAAAGCCCGGAGCUCAACUCCGGUUUUGGGCAAAAUAUGGCAAAUCUAGUAGAGUAGAGAGGGUAUUGGAACUGAUGGUGUAGCAGUGAAAUGCGUUGAUAUCAUCAGGAACACCGAAGGCGUAGGCAGAUACCUGGCUACUUCUAGACGCUGAGGCACGAAAGCUGGGGGAGCGAAGCAGAUUAGAGACCUGCGUAGUCCUAGCCGUAAACGAUGGAUGCUAGUUACCGGGAUUUAUUUCGGUGA
rnacentral:rRNA from 1 species